CGUCGUCGUACCGGGGAGGUCGUACUCGAAGCAGCUCUUCGCGUGCCAGCACCACACCGAAGUACUAGAACCAGCACUAUACCGUUUCGUCCAAUCUGCCGCCGUUCUGAACCGUACCUUAGCACAGGGUCCCGAAGCCAUUCCUUGCAAAGUUUCUGUUUGUAACUCACUUUUGGCAUUUCAACAAACGAGAAGAGUGCACACUGCCACGGACGCUAGUGAAGAAGAGAAACGAAGCCACCUCGCAAUGGGAACAGCAAUCGGCAGACUUUGUGGGCUACUAUAAGAGGGAGCAAGAUGUCCAUACAAUCUUUAAUUCGGGUUCUGGUGCAAAAACUCGGUUUAUGUGUCAUCGUUUCCCCUAGUCAACAAUACUGUGCUGGGUGAGAGCAGCAUUUAAGGUCUUAGUAGUUAGGGCCACUUAGAUGUGUUUAUGUGCAUACUCUGGCGUUCGGAAUCCACCACGGAAACAAAUAGCCGCGCUACCAAGGUAAAGUGUGCUACACCAGCUACAAGGGCUGCAUCCGUCUCGAAAGUGAUGGUCGUAAUCUUGUGCUGAAUGUGACUUGUUAGUUACUCUAAAAGUGUGUUUUUUAUUUGUUUGUUUUUUGCGCGACAUGAUUUUUCGCGUUUUUCGAGACCGCCAAAGAAUUCGCAAAUUUAAUUGUACCCUCGAAGUCGACAGUCACCGAGAUAUAUGAGCUUGCGUUUUUCGCGAAUAGUAUAGGGUGUUUUCACAUGACGUCAAGCGAACCCGUUUGGACUCCAUGGUGGUGGUCACUUUUCGGCGCAGCUGCCGGACUUAUCUAGCAUUCUAGUGUUGAAAUCCGGACGCGUCCGUACCCCUCUUUUAUCCCAAAGGCGCUUCGUCAUUGUCGUUCUCACAUUUUCUUUUAUGAAAACUAUGGUUGUCGCAUCGAAAAAUAGCGCAGUUUGUCAUCUUGCAAUGCCGCUAGCACGAAAAGUGACCAUCAGUGGGAGGAGCUUCCGAGCAUGUCACGUCACUGCACGUCACGCAAUGACGUCAUGCACAUGUGGUCCCGCCCACUGGUGGUCACGCUUCUGCAGCUAGCUGAACUGUGUCCUCGUGGUAUUUGUUUUUGUACGCGACGCUAUGGUAAACUGCGCUAUUUACGGUUGUAACGAGAGAAGUUUCCGCAAGAAAAAGAGGAAGAGAGAAGAGGAAGACGAGGAUUCACGUGAGACGUCGCUGGUAAACGAAUAUUUGCAAAAUGACGAUGACGAAAAUGUUGCAGAAGAGGAGGAGCGACGAGUGGCUCUCACGCAUCAACCGAAAAGACAUGCAAGCAAGUGCCACCCAUUACAGAAUUUGCAGCAAACACUUCAUAUCUGGUGAGCUGAUGUUUUGAUCUGGUAUGCUUCGCAUUACGUGCAAAAGUAUUCAGUCUUUACCUGAUAUGAGCGGCAGCGACAGCUAGAGUUUAGAAGAACAUAACUAGGCCAGUUUCAGGUGAACCACCACUUCUGUACGAUGUCAACAACCCGUACUGGGCACCAAGCGUCCAGCUUGGUCACAACAAGUGACUGCACUGUAAUUUAGACAGAUACAGUAGGCGCAAGAAUAGGGCAGCAUGCCAGGCAGGAGUUGCAAGGCACCUCACAGAACUCAAAAAUGUGCCUGUGGCUGACAGUGCUGGUACAGACACAGAAGCAUCAGAGUGUGGACUCAGUUGAGAUGAUGAAGACGGGCAACUACAGGAUGCGCUUUCACAUGACAAGGCAAUUGCAUCGGAUAUCUCCAUGGCUGAUAUUCUCCGACUUGAAGAAGAAAUCCGAAGGUUAAACCACGAGGUCUACAAGCUGAAGGCACAUAUGGCACAUACGAGAAAUGACACAAGCGUAUUUUCAGAAUGACUCUUCUGCAGUGAAGUUUUACUCUGGACUUCCCAACUAUGCAAUGUUGCUUACAGUUUUCGAUUUGGUUGAGAACCAUGUCCACCAUACAUCUUGCAAUUCUUUGACGAAAUUUCAGGAGAUAAUGUUAACUUUGGUUCGGCUUUGUUUAAACGUGCCUCUUCAAGAUCUC